UUUUUUCAUGCUUUGUGGCAGCUUUUGAACAUCUGUGACAUCUAUUAAUGUCAAAUCUAGACUUUAUUUAACAACAUAAGCAAACUCUAUGUUACAAUAAUUGCACAGCCAUUAAGGAUCAAAUCAGUUUCUGAAAAAUGUUCUGCUUUUUCUUCCUCUGCUUGCUUCUUACUGUCUUUGAGGCUCGGGACCAGCACUCCUGUUGUUGGACAGAAAGACAUCAACUUGAGAUAUGACUGCACUAUGCUGUUGCUGGUGACUCCAGUUAAUUCUACAAGACAUGCUGUGACAACAGGAGAGAUGAGUCCUCCAUCACAGAUGGUGUGGUCAGUGAAGGUGGUCGCCUGCAGGUUCAAGCUCAUUGCAUCUCCAACCCACAUCCACUGCCACUGUACUUAAAGGAAGUUAAAGACUUUGUCUGCACCUACAUUUGGAUCACCUCGAUCCAUGACAGUCAUUCAGGCAGUAAUGCCUGGACUGGAAACAAGCCAUCCUUAAAAUAAUACAACAUUCCAGCUCAUGUGUUGGAAUGAAAAACAAAUGUUUUGUUUAAAUCAGAGACUGCACUUGUGA